GACGAACGCUGGCGGCGUGCUUAACACAUGCAAGUCGAACGAAGAGCGAUGGAAGCUUGCUUCUAUCAAUCUUAGUGGCGAACGGGUGAGUAACGCGUAAUUAACCUGCCCUUCAGAGGGGGACAACAGUUGGAAACGACUGCUAAUACCGCAUACGAUCUAAUCUCGGCAUCGAGGAUAGAUGAAAGGUGGCCUCUACAUGUAAGCUAUCACUGAAGGAGGGGAUUGCGUCUGAUUAGCUAGUUGGAGGGGUAACGGCCCACCAAGGCGAUGAUCAGUAGCCGGUCUGAGAGGAUGAACGGCCACAUUGGGACUGAGACACGGCCCAGACUCCUACGGGAGGCAGCAGUGGGGAAUCUCCGCAAUGGACGAAAGUCUGACGGAGCAACGCCGCGUGAGUGAUGACGGCCUUCGGGUUGUAAAGCUCUGUUAAUCGGGACGAAAGGCCUUCCUGCGAAUAGUGAGAAGGA
rnacentral:rRNA from 1 species